GAUGAACGCUGGCGGCGUGCCUAACACAUGCAAGUCGAACGGAGUUACUUUGGUGAAGUUUACGGAUGGAUCUGAUUUAACUUAGUGGCGGACGGGUGAGUAAUGCGUGAGCAACCUGCCCUUCAGAGGGGGACAACAGUUGGUAACGACUGCUAAUACCGCAUAAUGUAUUCGGAAGGCAUCUGCUGGAUACCAACGGAGAAAUCCGCUGAAGGAUGGGCUCACGUCUGAUUAGUUGGUUGGUGAGGUAACGGCUAACCAAGACUGCGAUCAGUGGCCGGACUGAGAGGUUGAACGGCCACAUUGGGACUGAGAUACGGCCCAGACUCCUACGGGAGGCAGCAGUGGGGAAUAUUGGGCAAUGGGCGAAGGCCUGACCCAGCAACGCCGCGUGAAGGAAGAAGGCCUUCGGGUUGUAAACUUCUUUUAAGAGGGACGAAGAAGUGACGGUACCACUUGAAUAAGCCACGGCUAACUACGUGCCAGCCGCCGCAGUAA
rnacentral:rRNA from 1 species